rnacentral:rRNA from 1 species
CAGAGGUGGCAAGCGUUGUUCGGAAUUACUGGGCGUAAAGGGCGCGUAGGCGGUCUUGUAAGUCUUGUGUGAAAUCCCUCGGCUUAACUGAGGAACUGCACGAGAUACUGCAAGACUCGAGAUCGGGAGAGGGAAGCGGAAUUCCGGGUGUAGCGGUGAAAUGCGUAGAUAUCCGGAGGAACACCGGUGGCGAAGGCGGCUUCCUGGACCGAUACUGACGCUGAGGCGCGAAAGCUAGGGGAGCAAACGGGAUUAGAUACCCCGGUAGUCCUAGCUGUAAACGAUGAGUGCUGGGUGUAGGGGGUAUUAACCCCCCUGUGCCGAAGCUAACGCAUUAAGCACUCCGCCUGGGGAGUACGGUCGCAAGGCUG